rnacentral:rRNA from 1 species
GAUGAACGCUAGCGGCAGGCCUAAUACAUGCAAGUCGAACGGGAUCCAGAUCAAAGCUUGCUUUGGUUUGGUGAGAGUGGCGUACGGGUGCGUAACGCGUGAGCAACCUACCCUUGUCAGGGGGAUAGCCCGGCGAAAGUCGGAUUAAUACCGCAUGACAUCAUUGAGAGGCAUCUUUCGAUGAUCAAAGAUUUAUCGGACAAGGAUGGGCUCGCGUGACAUUAGCUAGUUGGUAAGGUAACGGCUUACCAAGGCUACGAUGUCUAGGGGCUCUGAGAGGAGAAUCCCCCACACUGGUACUGAGACACGGACCAGACUCCUACGGGAGGCAGCAGUAAGGAAUAUUGGUCAAUGGACUGAAGUCUGAACCAGCCAUGCCGCGUGCAGGAAGACGGCCCUAUGGGUUGUAAACUGCUUUUAUACGGGAACAAACGUCGGUACGUGUACCGGUCUGAGUGUACCGUAAGAAUAAGGAUCGGCUAACUCCGUG